rnacentral:rRNA from 1 species
UACGUAGGCAGCAAGCGUUGUUCGGAAUUACUGGGCGUAAAGAGUGUGUAGGCGGUGCUCUAAGUUCGGUGUGAAAUCUCCCGGCUCAACUGGGAGGGUGCGCCGGAAACUGGGGUGCUGGAGCGCGGGAGAGGAAAGCGGAAUUCCUGGUGUAGCGGUGAAAUGCGUAGAUAUCAGGAGGAACACCUGCGGUGUAGACGGCUUUCUGGACCAUUGCUGACGCUGAGACACGAAAGCGUGGGUAGCAAACAGG